CUUGCCAAAGCAAGGCAUUCUUGACAGGAAUAAACAUUGGGAGCAGCUCUAGCUGACUCAGCUCAGAGGAUGACAUCACAGUUAAUUGACAUCUUUCUGUUAACAAUGCAUCUUAUCUUCUAGGGGAAUUAUGCAUUGAGUGAAGACAUCUUGCUGUAGAAGAGAAGAACAAUUCAGAUAGUUCACAUGAUUUACAAUAUGGCUUUGAUUGUCUUAUGUUAAUGGCUGGUAAAGAACUGAAACAUGUAGGCUGGAGAUCACUUGAUAGAAAUCAAGAAAUCUCUGAUCUACAUUGUAUGAGAAAAUCAUGAAGUGGUUGUUGUCAUUGAUCCAGAAACUAAGUUGCAAUCUGUCUUGAUAAAUAUAUCAUACAGAUUUAAUGGUGGCCUACUCAACCCGAGGCGGCUUAAAGCAAAAACAAAAACAAACGCAGCAGUAAUCAGAGACUUGCUAUUUGCUGACGACUGUGCCCUAAAAUGCCUGCUCUGAAAACGAUCUGCAGAGCAUCGUCAGUGACUUCUCAAGAGCAUGCUCAGACUUUGGCCUUACCAUCAAUACGAACAAGACUGAAGUCUUAUAUCUACCUGCUCCUGGGAAAGCCUACAUGGAUCCAAGCAUUACUAUAAAUGGACAGGAUAUAAACGCAGUGGACAAAUUCACAUAUCUUGGCAGCACACUCUCCAGAAAUGGAAAAAUCGAUAGUGAAAUCGACCUGUGUAUCACCAAGGCCAGUGCAUCCUACGGCAGAUUGUCUACAAAUGUCUGGAACAGACGUGGUAUCUCCACAAACACCAAGCUAGGGGUCUAUAGAGCCGUCAUCCUCCCUACAUUGCUAUAUGCCUCAGAAACAUGGACAGUGUACAGUAAACAUGCAAAGAAACUAAACCACUUCCACAUGACAUGUCUGAGAAAAAUACUAAAUGUCAAAUGGCAAGACAAAAUACCAUAGUGUGUCUGCAAAGCAUCCACACAAUCCUGAUGCAGUCCCAGCUGCGAUGGGCAGGUCACGUCUACAGAAUAGAAGACCACCGCAUCCCUAAACGACUCCUGUAUGGCCAACUAAGCGAAGGAAAGCGCUCGCAAGGUGGUCAAAGAAAGCGCUUCAGGGACACCCUCAAUGCUUCUCUGAAGGCGUUCAGCAUAGACCCAGGCACCUGGGAGACAGAGGCACAUGACAGAGCAUCAUGGCGUCGCGCUGUGAAAACUGGCGCACAGGAGGCUGAGGAAAAAAGAACAAUGCUGGCAGAAGAAAAAUGCCAGAAAAGAAAAUCAAGGCCCACGACACUAGCUCCAGCUGGAAUAACCUGCCCAGUGUGCGGCCGAACAUUCCGGGCUCACAUAGGUCUCACCAGCCACAUGAGGAGGCAUAAAACCCCAGUGCAAAGCCCUCAGCCCCCUGGAUGACAAAGUGGUCAUCAUCGAACCACGAUGGACGAACUAUAAGUUGCAAUCUGUCUUGUGAACGAAUUGUGUGUCCCCUUACCUGUCAAUUCUGUUUAGUGAUGGUCAAGCUCAACUGAUAUUAUUCUAAGCAGCUUUUAUUCUGAGAAUUAUUCAACGACAGAAGCUGUGAGGGAUAUCUGAAAUCCAUUGCUUACUUGUCUAGCAGAAAGAUUUCUAUCCGUUUAGUGAUAAAAGAUUGAGAUUAAUUGUAUACAACUUUUUGUAGUCACUAAAUAACACACUUUUAUGCUCAAGACAAUACUGUUCAUGAAUGGUUUAGUUUUCUUAAUGCUGAGAGUGUUCAUGAAAGAAGGAUCAAAGAUCAAUUUGGGUGUUUGUUUUUAAGACAACUUGCAAUGUUUAUUAAUUUAAAUUUACCAGGUACCUAUUAUUCAUUUACUUUGGAUUUUAAGAUAUUUGUCAUUGAAAUUUAAAUAGGUAUAAGUACAGUUAAUUAACCACAGGAUUCCAUUAAAAAAUUUAAAUGCUAAAGAAAUUUAAAAAGAAAACAUUUCAUUUUUGAGAUUACAUCAUCUUUAUGUGGAAUGUUUUUUGAAUAAAUGGUACCUGUACAGGUGAUUAGACCUAUUAAUAGAUGAUAACUGGAUAUAUUUGUAUUUCAAACCACUGGCAUGUAUUUUACUUGUUACUAAUAACUUAAUUUACUUUUUAAUAUAUGCAUUAUCUUCUAUUUUGAAGUAACAUCUGUAUUAUAUAAGAUAAGAUUAUCAACUGUAGUUUUCUUUUAAGAGUUCUUUAUGAAAAUGUUACCACUGAACACUGCUAUAUUACUAGACUUUUUUCAACCAUGUUUUGUAAAUGAAAUAUUGUACAAUGGCAUAUUUAU